rnacentral:misc_RNA from 1 species
AAGUCGUAACAAGGUCUCCGUAGGUGAACCUGCGGAAGGAUCAUUAAAGAAUUCGGCUUCGCGGCCAAGUUCUCACCCUUUGUAGUACCGAAACUAUGUUGCUUUGGCAGGCCCCCUGCAUUUCUCGGGCCUGCCAGACGGUUAUAAACCCCUAGAAUUCUCUGCUGAUCUUGAGGUAGCUAUGCAAUAGUUAAAA